rnacentral:rRNA from 1 species
CCCGAUAGGUCUCGAUUGCUGGAAUGCAUCGAGAUUUAAAGCUCCGGCGCCUAAGGAUGGGUCUGCGGCCUAUCAGGUAGUAGUGGGUGUAGCGUACCUACUAGCCUACGACGGGUACGGGUUGCGAGAGCAAGAGCCCGGAGAUGGAUUCUGAGACACGAAUCCAGGCCCUACGGGGUGCAGCAGGCGCGAAAACUUUACAAUGCUGGCAACAGCGAUAAGGGAACCUCGAGUGCCAGGUUACAAAUCUGGCUGUCGAGAUGCCUAAAAAGCAUUUCAUAGCAAGGGCCGGGCAAGACCGGUGCCAGCCGCCGCGGUAACACCGGCGGCUCGAGUGGUAACCGUUAUUAUUGGGUCUAAAGGGUCUGUAGCCGGCCGGAUAAGUCUCUUGAGAAAUCUGGCAGCUUAACUGUCAGGCUUUCAGGAGAUACUGUCUGGCUCGAGGCCGGGAGAGGUGAGAGGUACUUCGGGGGUAGGGGUGAAAUCUUGUAAUCCUUGAAGGACCACCAGUGGCGAAGGCGUCUCACCAGAACGGACCUGACGGCAAGGGACGAAAGCUAGGGGCACGAACCGGAUUAGAUACCCGGGUAGUCCUGGCCGUAAACGAUGUGGACUUGGUGUUGGAAUGGCUCCGAGCUGCUCCAGUGCCGAAGGGAAGCUGUUAAGUCCACCGCCUGGGAAGUACGGUCGCAAGACUGAAACUUAAAGGAAUUGGCGGGGGAGCA